rnacentral:rRNA from 1 species
UACAGAGGUCUCAAGCGUUGUUCGGAUUCAUUGGGUUUAAAGGGUCCGUAGGCGGUUUAGUAAGUCAGUGGUGAAAGCCCAUCGCUCAACGGUGGAACGGCCAUUGAUACUGCUAGACUUGAAUUAUUAGGAAGUAACUAGAAUAUGUAGUGUAGCGGUGAAAUGCUUAGAGAUUACAUGGAAUACCAAUUGCGAAGGCAGGUUACUACUAAUGGAUUGACGCUGAUGGACGAAAGCGUGGGUAGCGAACAGG